rnacentral:misc_RNA from 1 species
UGUUUUUAAGGUCCCGCCGAACAUAAGGUACUAUUGUUAGUAAGACAAUAUCUUUUAUCGAUAUCGUCGCUUAACGGGAGCCAAAAAGCCGCCCGAACAGGCGCUUGAGCCUCGCCUUCAGGACGUCGAAUACGAGCGAAGCUGCAUCGAGGCCCGGGGCCUCUCCCUGUAUUGCUACUGUAUUCCCGGAAAGCUUUGCCUCGAGGUUCCGGACA